rnacentral:rRNA from 1 species
AACGAACGCUGGCGGCAGGCUUAACACAUGCAAGUCGAACGGGUGUAGCAAUACAUCAGUGGCGCACGGGUGAGUAACGCGUGGGAAUAUGCCCUUUGGUACGGAACAACCUCGGGAAACUGAGGCUAAUACCGUGUAAUAUCUGCGGAUCAAAGAUUUAUCGCCAAAGGAUUAGCCCGCGUUGGAUUAGGUAGUUGGUGAGGUAACGGCUCACAAAGCCGACGAUCCAUAGCUGGUCUGAGAGGAUGAUCAGCCACACUGGGACUGAGACACGGCCCAGACUCCUACGGGAGGCAGCAGUGAGGAAUAUUGGACAAUGGAGGAAACUCUGAUCCAGCCAUGCCGCGUGAGUGAUGAAGGCCUUCGGGUUGUAAAGCUCUUUUACCCCUGACGAUAAUGACGGUAAGGGGAGAAAAAGCCACGGCUAACUACGUGCCAGCCGCCGCGGUAA